rnacentral:rRNA from 1 species
AGAACGAACGCUGGCGGCGCGUUUAAGCAUGCAAGUCGAGCGGCAAGGGCCUUCGGGCCCCUAGAGCGGCGGACGGGUGAGUAACACGUGGACAAUCUGCCCCCCGGCCGGGAUAGCCCAGGGAAACCUGGAUUAAUACCGGAUGAGACGGGACCCGCGAUGGCGGGACCCGGGAAAGGCGCUGCGGCGCCGCCGGGGGAUGAGUCUGCGUCCCAUUAGCUAGACGGCGGGGUAAGGCCCACCGUGGCGACGAUGGGUAGCCGGCCUGAGAGGGUGGACGGCCACAUUGGAACUGAGACACGGCCCAGACUCCUACGGGAGGCAGCAGUGGGGAAUAUUGCACAAUGGGCGAAAGCCUGAUGCAGCGAACCGCCGCGUGAGUGAAGAAGUAUUUCGGUAUGUAAAGCUCUAUCAGCAGGGAAGAAAGGCCCAUUAAGGGAGAUGACGGUACCUGACUAAGAAGCCCCGGCUAACUACGUGCCAGCCGCCGC